ensembl:lncRNA
CUCUAGGCCGGUGCUGAGAAAGUAGGAAGGGGAAGUUGGAGUUGAAGCAGCUGGAGAGGCGAGAGAUGCUGGGUGACCCCCCAGAGAACUGGAGGCUCCUCUGGGAGGAAACCUGGGAAGAGUGAGAAGGAGCAUUGUGACCAGAACAAGCCCCCACCACCCAUGUGAGACAGGUUAUGCCACCUUCAGAGAUGCUGAAGUGCCUCAGAUAUUCAUAACUGGACAUUUCAUAUAAGUGGAAGAAUCCAAAACGUGGCCUUUGGUGUCUGGCUUCUGUCCGUUGAUGCUGUCAAAGUUCUGGAGGAUUCUCUUAAAGAUGGCUGACUCACCUGGCCUGCUCGUUGGUGCUGGCUGACAGCUGGGAGUUUAGUGAGGGAUUUGGGCUGAUCCUAGCCUCUCUCUGUCAGGGCCCUUUUGCUUCCUUAUGACAUGACAACUGGGUUCUAAGAGUGAAUGUCCCAAGAGAAUCAGGCAGACUUUUCAUGUUUUGUGACUAAAUUUGAAUGUCGCAUAGUGUCCCUUUGAUACUUGUCUUGUCACCAUCAAAAUCUUGGCUUUCCCUCCCCACCAAAGCCAAAUAAAAGCAUUCGGAGACAGAGUUUGGAGGAAAUAGGAAGAUGGCUUUGAUCCCCAGCUGGCCAAGGAGAGAACAGUGC